GGGGCAGCAGGUCCGUAGCAAUACGGAUGCUGGCGACCGGCAAACGGGUGCGGAACACGUACACAACCUUCCUUUAAGUGGGGAAUAGCCCGGGGAAACCCGGAUUAAUACCCCGUAAUAUAAUGAAGUGGCAUCGCUUUAUUAUUAUAGCAGCAAUGCGCUUGAAGAUGGGUGUGCGACUGAUUAGGCAGUUGGCGGGGUAACGGCCCACCAAACCUACGAUCAGUAACUGGUGUGAGAGCACGACCAGUCACACGGGCACUGAGACACGGGCCCGACUCCUACGGGAGGCAGCAGUAAGGAAUAUUGGUCAAUGGACGCAAGUCUGAACCAGCCAUGCCGCGUGGAGGAUGAAGGUCCUCUGGAUUGUAAACUUCUUUUAUCUGGGAAGAAAUCCAUGAAUUCUUUUGUGGUUGACGGUACCAGAUGAAUAAGCACCGGCUAACUCCGUGCCAGCAGCCGCGGUAAUACGGAGGGUGCAAGCGUUAUCCGGAUUCACUGGGUUUAAAGGGUGCGUAGGUGGGCAGGUAAGUCAGUGGUGAAAUCUCCGGGCUUAACUCGGAAACUGCCAUUGAUACUAUCUGUCUUGAAUACCGUGGAGGUCAGCGGAAUAUGUCAUGUAGCGGUGAAAUGCUUAGAUAUGACAUAGAACACCAAUUGCGAAGGCAGCUGGCUACACGAAUAUUGACACUGAUGCACGAAAGCGAGGGGAUCAAACAGGAUUAGAUACCCUGGUAGUCCACGCCCUAAACGAUGGAUACUCGACAUACGCGAUAUACUGUGUGUGUCUGAGCGAAAGCAUUAAGUAU
rnacentral:rRNA from 1 species